CGGGGCGUAGCGCAGUUUGGUAGCGCGCUUGGUUCGGGACUAAGAAGUCGCUGGUUCAAAUCCAGUCGCCCCGA
rnacentral:tRNA from 1 species